AUGAUUUGUAUGUUGAGCGGCAUUCUGAUUUGUUCUUGAGGGAACGAUUUGUAAUGAUGGUAAGGUUGAUUUCUUGUAAUCUUGAGUGAUUACGAUCUGAGUGCACCGAUCUGUACUCCUUGAAUGCUUUGGUUUCGAUUUUCACUUUGUGGCUACUUACUAUGACAGAAGCUUAAAGGAUUUGGUUUUAUUGCCUUAGGGCAAUCGUUGAAUGAAUUUCAUUUUAUUCAGUUCUUGUUUUCUAUUUCUGUUUACUGCAUAUUUUUAUUGUAAAAUCACUUAAUCGUUUGAACCUCCUUUUAACAGCAAUGAUAGAAUUGGACAAAAUUGAACAAUAAUUACUUAUUUCCGUAUAAAUUGAUACAUAGCAAUCGCUACAUUACGACAGAACUUUUUCUCAUAAUUCAUUGUUAACUAAUUUCUUUGAUUGCUGAAAUUAACCAUGGACCUUUGGCACCUUCUUUCACGCACAUAAAAAACAUACACACUAGCCAACAUAGGAUGUACACACUUGACUCACAAUGCCAAACAAUUACUUUGACAAGAAGCAACCAUAGAUAAUUUGUACUAAAUUGGGUAUUAAUGAUUCCAUUUAUGAAGAAAAUACAUAUGAGCACAAUCAUAAUAAGUGUUUGCACACGAUAUGGUAAUACACCGAAGAUGAAUAUAAUAUGUUCCCCUUCUUGAUAGAGACAGAGCAGAGAUAAAGAGCAAACACAAAGACGAAGAAAAAUGAGGUGUCGGUUGACGGGAGAUUGAAGUAGGACAGAUGGGAAAGUGGAUGCAUAUUGGAUGAGGGUAUGGGAUGCCACUAGUUGGGUUCGUUUUGCCGAGGAAGAAAGAUGCUAUUCAAUACCAAUGAUGCUAAACAUUAGUUUAUGUGAUAACUGCAUGUUAUUAAAUGAUAUAUUCACUUAAAUGUAAUGUCACAUGAAUCAUUUAAUUGAACCUAUAAAGUGUUAUCACCUAAAUUGAUUCUCUAGCACCACUAGCAUUAGAUGGCAUUAUUUGCCUAGUAUUCAAGAAAAUAUCUUUCGAAUUAAAAUGAUCGUAAGAAUACAAUUCGUUAACAAGUAAUAAAGUGAAUUUGAGUCUAAGAAUCAUCCUACAGGAAUUGAUUUAGUUUAAUUUUAAUUAUCAUGACCAUAACUAAAAUGAAAGUAAUGUUUUGUCUUGGUUUUGUGACAAAAUAACAUAACAUAUUUAUGCAAUUAUGAGUAAGUUAACUAAGUUAAAUGCAAAUUAUGCUAAAUGCAACUUGAUGUAAUCUAAUGAAUGACAAACGUAUCAGGAUCCCAAAUUCCCAUAUAAUAAUCAUUUUUGACCUUAAUUUUACACUUUGACAACUAGGUUGAAUUUUGAAAAAUCAAUGUUCUUGUUUUAUUUAACAAUCUCUCUUGAGUAAUAUUAAACAUACUCUCAUUUAUGACUCAAUUAUUUUUCUAUGACGGAUGCAAACAUACAAAAGUGUAUGAAUUUUUAUGAACACUUAAAGAUUCAUAUAAAAUAUAGCGGUAUAUAUCUAUCUGCUGUCGGACCCUAUGACGAUUUGCUUCAUAUCAAGCCUAUUUUCCUUUUUUCGAAUGCAUAAAAUAAGUCACCGAAUUCACACAAUUACCGUGCACAAUAAUUUGGUGAAAAAUAUAAUCAUAUAAAUUAUACAAUGUCUAAAAAUGUGUUUUCAUUGUCAAAUAUGUAAAUUUAAAAAUUAAAAAUUCAUACUAUAAAGUUCAUCGUUCUCCUAACGUAGAAAUCUAGCAUAACAUAUUAUGAAGAAGAAAACAAGAAUUAUAUAGAGUAGACAUCACCCAAAUUAUAAAUUUUAAUUGGAUCUUGAUGUCAUGGAAUCUUUCUUCUUGUUUUUUACCAUCUUCUGUGCUCUCUAAUGUGUUGUAAUGCAUGAUAAUCUACUUAUGGACGACCAUAGGUCUUUACAAGACGUCCCAAAUAUUGUUUUCCAUAAGAGUCAGUGUCAUAUAAAGAAAAAAAAAAUCGUCCAAAAAUGUAUUAUGCUAUAGCAUAGAUCAAUCAACGUCAGCCCUAAAAACUCCCGUUGCCUACCAUGCGACCAUAUGGAUAAAUGAACAAUGCUAUCGUGGCAAAGAUCCAAUUUUUAUGUUUUAGUUAUUGAAUUCCAUUUUCUCGUUUCUUGAUCUCUUUUCUCGCUUCUUCUUUUUCCAAUACUUCAUUCCUUUCUCUCAAAUGGUCUUCGACUCUUUCACAUAUUUGUUUUUUCUUUCGGAUCAUCUUUUGGCUAUUUGCAUUUUGGUUCCCAAACUUUGAUUUUCUUCCAUUUUAGUCAUUUUCGCUUGUUUCUCCUAAAUUGCACCAUAUUCAUCGAUGUUGUCCUGCAAAGCAUAAUUUAUAUAGAAUUAAGCCCUAUUUCAAUAUUUACCCACAAUUAUUCAUGUUUCUGGUUUGAAUAAGUGUAUAAAAUGCACUUAUAAACUAGAAAAGUUAGAGCGGAAGUUAAUACUCAUUUUCUUAUAAAUUAAUAGUCUUAUAGACAAUGAGUUUUUUAAACACUCAAAUUAGGAAAAAAAUGUCUCUAAUAAUCCAUGUUUCAUUAAAUAUUUAAGAUUGUACGGUUAUGUUAAACCUAGAAAAAAUGAACACCUUGAUUACCCAUUUUCGUAUAAAUUGACAACAGUGAAAUGUUUCUUGACACCGUGUGUUGUGUCAUUUUUUGCCAAGACAAGUUGAACACAAACUUAAUUUCUCAUUUUUAUAUAAUUUGUAAUCUUACAACUUAUAUAUUAAAUAAUUGAACUUUUGCUUAAAAUUCAUAACUUAUUUCUGGGUUUGCUCAAAAUUACCUCUGGGCCCUGGCUGGACUCUUCAGUCUUCACACGCGCACACUCGUUUGCAAACAUAGGAUAUAUAUACUUGAGACUCUCACUGCUCUCAUACACAUUUGGCAAAACCAAACAAAUAUCUCUUCAGUCUCUCUGUCUCUCUGGUGUUCAGACUGUUCAAUAUCAUCUGUGUGUGCUCUUCUUCUGCUUCAUUUGGGCUUUUGCCCAUUUUUUGGUUUUGUGAGAUGAAACUUUUUUGGGUCACAAAUUGCGAAAUCUUGAUCUUGUCGAAUCCCUCUAUUGAGUUUUGAAGUUUCUUGAUCUGGGCUCUAUAUAAUCUCAUUCAAGAUUACAUUUUUUUGCUAUAAAAAUCAUUUCUUUAUCUUUUUUCAAGUUAUUUUGGAUACCUUUGCAUUGAAAAUUUACACUGGGCUUGGUGGUUUAGGAGUUUCGGUUCAUAUUAGUGAGUUCUCUAAUGGUUUCUCGGUGAGUUUCAUUUCUUUUUUAUUUUUCUUAAUUAUUUAAUUUCUGUGGGUUUUGUACUGUUAUUUGGUUCUAAAUAGGGGAAAGAUUUUUUUUUCCCCUGAAAACCGUGUGUUUAUUUAUAGUUUCAUUACUCCAUGGAUCUAAUCUUCAUUGUUUCUGAAAAAAGAUUGAAAGAUUAGUGUUUUAUUGUCAAUUGUUUAAUGGGUUGCUACUGAAGUCCAAGUUCAGUUUGUGUUAUAAACUGCAUACAACAAGUGCGAGCAUCUGGUUUUCUAUGUGGGGCAAGCUUUUAGGCCAACUAGGAUGGAGAGGUGAAAAUUGUGUAUAGGAUUCUGAUGUUGGUACAAGUUAGGAGUCCUUGUGUUGUUAUGUGGGAUGGUAAAAUUGGUUCUUCACAUUAAUCCAAUGGUUGUAGAAUAUGUUAUAGGUAUUGAACCACCUCGUCUAAAAAGGCUUAAACCAAUAACGAGUGACACAUGUUCAACGUGCCCUCGUUUCCUUAACAAAGGUCUAUAUAUGUACAUUUUUCAGAGUUGAAACCACCAUAUGUAAAAGAUUAAGCUAUUAGAUGAGGUGGUUUAGCACUAGGCUGCUUUAUGUUGGAGCUUGUAAAUUCUUAAUAACGUGUUCAACGUGCCCUCGUUUCCUUAACAAAGGCCUAUAUAUGUACAUUUUUAGGGUUGAAACCACCACAUGUGAAAAGCUUAAGCUAUUAGACGAAGUGGUUCAGCACUAGGCUGCUUUAUGUCGGAGCAUGUAAAUUCUUAAUACUGUUUAGUGUAUAAGGUGCUGAAAAUUUGAGCAAACAUUUACUAUCCAUUCUUUGUGAUUUCAUGAUGCAAUGUUGUAUUAUGUUCUUCGACAAAGUGUAGUGUUUAUAUUCUUCUCUUGUGCCUAUUGGGAAAAGGGAUUAGCUUACUGUUCUUGUUUUAAACUCUUUUCUUGUGCCUUUGAUUGACUACUUGAAUUAAAUGGGUGGAACAAUUAUGAUGAUGUACUAUAAGUUCACUUCCUUGCCCUUACAAACAUGUGAUUUUCAUAAUUAGUUGGAUUCGUUUAUAUAAAACGAUUUUCUUACCAAAUUUUUCCAAGAAUAUCUAACACCGUAUAUACAAUAAUUUUCCCUAUAAUGGUUCAUAUUUGAUUAGUUCAGUUAUGAAGACCUCAUUGGUUAUAAACAUACUCAUGAAAUUCAUAAAUAAUUUUUUGGGCAAUGAUACGUGUAUAUAACCAUUUACACACUGCCUUACUUGUGUGGGCCUCCUCCAUGUGAGGGGAGUUAAAGACUGUGUGUACAUCUUGAGGUGUAUAUAUAGCAUUAUUCUAAUUUUUAUGGCUACUUUGUUUCACAGAAACAUCCAUUGCUUGCGUGAUUUAUCUGGGGUAUAAGAUUAUGGGUCGGGGUAGAGUGAAGGGGAAGAAAUUAUCUGUAGCUAACCAGGAUGAUCCUGGGAGCGGCGAGGAAGAGAAAAUUCCUGCACAGAAGAGAAGGGGAAGACCACAGAAAUCACUUAAAGACGAAAUAGAUGAUGACAAAGCACAGAAAAUAGGAGAUGAAUAUAGUGAGGAUACGACAACUGGUAUGCUGAACAAAGAAAUGAGAGGUUCAAAUUCGACACAGAAUGGGAAUAAAAGAAAAAAGGACGGCCACUUAAAGGAGAAAGCUGAUUCAGUUGAAGAUGAAAAUGAAAAUGAAAAUGAAAAUGGGCCUAGAUCAAGCACUGAGGACAUGAAUAAAUCAAAUGGCUUUCGUCCAGCUCGUAAUAGGCGAAAAAAUAAACCUUGUCGAGCUGCUGAAGUAGGUGUGGAUUUGAGACUAUUUUAGCUGUUGGAAUGGAGACCUAGUACAUCUCUACCUUUGUUCUUUCUUUAUUCCUCAGUUUUGGUUCUUUAUCAGGAAUUUGUCUUUAUUUUGAAAGAUUUUCGGAUCAUCAUACUCUCGGGAUUUUGAUGUUGCAAUGACAUAAGCGAGGCGUUAGUACCAUUUUAUUAUUGAUAAUAAUAAUCUGAUGUUCAGAUGAUUCCCUUUUUCUGUUCUUCUUGGUGAUUCUAGUAAUAUCAUGCACCCUGAAUCUCUUGUUUUCUUAUUUACUAAUAUGAUGUAAAAAGUUGGAGGGAUUUUGCUGUCAUAUUUUCAGUUUAUCUAAUGUUUUGUUGGACCCUGUGGAGCCUAAUCAGACUCUCACCUAUCUCAUUGACCAUGGAUCGACUUGAUAUUCCUACCAUAUAUACAAGAUUUUAGGGGGAAACCCCUUUUGAUAUAAGAAGGGCGUUCGGUCUUUGUAUACUUCUUUUUCAUUAUAGUAAAAAACUUGUGGCCACAUAAAUUUAGGUGACUGCUUAGUGUGUUUCUGAUUUUAUUUUGUGUAUAAUUAUAUAGCAUUAUAUAUUGCUCAGUUCAAUUCCAGCUUUAAACAUCAUGUGGCCCAUUCUGUUCAUUACAGGGAAAACAUAGAUGACUUUUAGCUAGGUUCAUUUUACUAUAUUUAAAGAGUUAAGCUGAAUUAAAGAUCACAUGCUUUUAGCUUGACACCACAAGUAUCUCUUUUUCCUAAUCGGGACGAAUGAAAAUUGGCCCUUGAGUGCAAAAAUAGAAGGAAACAUAAUGUAAGAUUCAAUUGUUGAGUGCGCAUGAGAGUAGGUCUUGGUAAGCUGAUAAAGCUGAUAAGCGAAAGAGCCGUAAUACAACAACAAAUAAUUUUAUUCCCAAAUUAUCUGAGUUUGAUUACGUGAAUCUAUUUUUCAGAAAGUUAUGAGAGAAAAAUUAAGAAAAUAACAAAACAUAAGGUGAUGUGAAUGCUCAAAUAGAUUGUUGAGAUUGACGUGUGGACUAAGAUGAGAAUCCAUGAGAGUCAAAAAGCAAUUGAUAUUCCUCUUUUGAGUUUUUAAAGUCGACUAGACGAUAGUAGAAUGCCAUGUUAGCCGCAUGAUCCAUGAGUGCUUUCUAUCUAGUUAUUACUCGCUCAUAAAUUCUUGGCACAUUCAUGAUAAAAAUUGAUUUGUAUAACUAUAUGACAUGACACAACACUUGACAUUGAUUAUUUGAUUUAACUUGUCUUCUAUCACCCCUCAUCUAUUUUACACAUAUUCCUAAACCGCUUGACUCCAAGAUAAUAUGAAACAAACCCUCUGAACAUUUUGUAUUUUUAGCUUAAUUCUAUAUAGUUCUAACUUGAUCAUUAAAUUGAGAGUGGGACCAUUCAUGGUCAGACUCACUAAUCGAGUCUUGUUUUUUAGAUUAUCAUGAAAACGCCUACAUCCUUUAUUCAAAGGGUUUGACCAGAUUUCAAAUCAACAACAAAUAUAGGAAUAACCCACUUUGUCAGUUGUUUUUGGCCACCUAGUUGAUAGAUAUCAUGGUGACGGCAAAUGAUUGGAUCAAAAAGUUGACUAUUUUUUAAACAGUUAAAUAAUAAAAUGUCACGUGACAUUUUAUGAAGGAAGAUGGUGAAAACUUUUGACAAAGGACAAUUGUUCUCAAAAGAUAGAGCAUGCAAUUCACACGUCUGGUACAAAAUGCAAGAAAAUUCUGUCCUUUACUAAGGUGAAAAAGGAACUAGUUUUUCGUGCAUAUUCAGACAUGGGAUAUGGUUACUUUUGCUUAUUUCUCAAUAAUUUACUUAUUUUCACCAUAUAAAGGAUUAGUUUUAUCAAUGCAAGCCUCUAACAUCAAAUUAUCGAAUAGGACUAUACAACCGUAGUAUUUUUCCUCCUGGCUUUGAAUUUGUAGCACCAUUAUCAUCUGUCUAUCGGGUUUCUGCUGACCAUAUCACUAUGAUUUUUGUUACAAAGAUCAUGUGCAUCUAAGUUUAAAUGUGUCGUGCUAGAUCAACAUGGCUCAUGUCCCCAUCAACUUAAUACAUGGUGGUAUGUUAAACAAGAUGAUGCCGACUGCAGAUAAAUUACGUGCUUUUCGAACAAUAUAGCUUAAAGUAGGCACUAGGCAUGUCUAAAAUUGAUCUACAAAAUCCAAUAAAAAGUGUUAAUAAAUGUAACUUUUAUUCAUUUUCCCUUUUCCAAAUUCACACGGCAGACAUUUAUUUGGAGUUUGCUCAUAUAAAGCAUUCUUACAUCAAAUGGAAAUGCUAUUAGGCACACCCUUCCCCGUUACUCCAGGUUCAGAAAAUGGCUUCAAAAGCUGAUAUGGAACUACCCCAGCUCCAGAUCUGUUCUUCAGAUUUCCAUCUGCAUUUCUAGCAUCAAUGAUACCUUCAAUCUCCUUCAAUUUCCCAUUAAACCGUUUGAAUGCAGCACUUAUAUACUUAUCUUCUUCCCAGUACGGCUGGAUCUUCUCCCCGAGAUAUUCCUCAUCAGGUGAAUGGUUUGACAAAACGUCUAAAAUAGCCAUCACACUUGUUGCUUGAACUUGUGAAGGGAAACAAGCCAGGAGAAACUCCUCGGGCCUAUUCAGAAAUUGUUCCUUCUCUGCAUCGUUUGGAUUUUCCUUUGGCAUUAUUGCUCUAGCAAUGGAAGGCCUGUUUGGGAAAUAUCCUGCGAAAUCAUAUUGACCAAAGUUUACAGCAGCAUGGUGACCUGAAGUUACCCAUACCAUGUUUGUGAGAAUCCCAAUUAGGUCUUCUGAUGUUUCUAACACCGGCCACCAGGGCUCAUCCUUCUUGUCCCCGUGGCCGACUGUUUGAAUUUCAGUCCACCAUGCUUGUAGUUCAUUGUCAGAUUUUACAAGGUUUGCUUCGGGAUAGUAGUAAGUGACAUAGUCCGUAAUCCAUUGCUUGAUGGCAUCCCAAAGAAGUAAACCGUCGUUGGCAUAGGGGUAGUCUUCUAUUGUUAGCUUUAGGCCAUGCGGAGCUGUUGGAUCCUCCACCGCCAUUCCCCUGGUUAUACCAAAGUCAUAUAAGUCUUCAGAGAGGAGCGUUUCACACUAAACUUCAAUAAAUAAAUGUGUCGACUUUCUAUAAGCCCAAGCUUUUAGAUGACAUGGUUCAACAAGUUACCUAUUAAUUAAAUCAGCUGGAAGAGCCUGAAGGUCGAAUUGCCAUAGUUGGUCGUAGGCUGCAGAGCACAGCUCUGCACAGUAUUUGCCUGGAGAGAAUGCCUUCUCAAUGAUUCCAUCUGCAUUAAUAAGGGCCUCGCGAGCUAAAGCGUUAAUCUCCAUUGUGUAUCGCAGGUGAGGAUGUAAUAGUCUGUAAAUCGGGUGCAUUGCGCUCAAUUGUCUAUUGGUUGAAAUUAUGUAAGGCUCCACACAACAAUGAGUUCUUAGCCUGCAUAUUUCCUAAAGUAAUUAAGUACAAUAUACACCUAAUGAAACUUGCGAUUCAGUACGUAAGGAAUAACGCUUAGCUUGCUGUUUUAGAUAACCUUGAAAUUAAAAUUAAAACAAGAAAAAGCCUGAAUUUACCAGUGACUGACUAACUGAUGAAGACCAGAGUCAUGAGCAAGGACAUGGGCUUUAGCCAACCUCCACAGCCAGAUGCCAGUGGCGUCCCAACACGGCUGGAAUACAUCCUUCCAUUGUGGCUUCCCAUCUAUUGGCGGCCGUGUUAGCUCAAUGGCUAAGGGCCUCAACGUGCCUGAAGGCAUUAAGAAAAACAAUGUCCUCGAUCCGUAGAGAGUUGUUCCCUUGAGCUCUCUUACUUUAUUCACAUAAGGUAAUAACAAGUCAUGAUAAUCUAAAAUGAACAGUUUCUUUUGCUCCAAUGCCUGCAAUGGUACAGUAUAUAAAUUGAGUUUAGAUAUAGAUCAUGUUGAGAAUUAGCUGUUCAGUUCAUCUCUUACCUUCUCAAGUGUCAUCAACCCUCCAAUUUCUUGUUCGAUAAUUUCCUUUGUGAUUACCGAUUCAGCAGGUCCAUAUACCUCAGGGUCAAGUUUGCUCUUCAAUGGCCAUUCCUGCAUGCAUUCAUUUGGAAUUAUGUGAUACUGUAACAUUAUUUCUCUUUAGUAAUUCCAAGAAGCUACCAUGGGACGAAAUUCACAAACUCUACGUAACUAAAGUAAGAAAACAAUGAAAAGAUUAACAUGCGUGUGGAACCAAUAUAUUUUUGAUAUUCUAAUGUUUUAUUGGAAUAUUUAAUCGAGUACUUCUUAGUCGGUAGUAGAAUUUUGUGAACAAGAAAGAUGUGUUUGAUUGAUGGAAACAAGUGCUUACAAAUAGCAUUACUCAAUACAUUUUCGCUACUAGUUCCAUCAAGACACUUAUGUUGCACGACAUAGAUGUGUUAAAAUUGAAUCAGAAAGCAUACCGUAACCAACUUGAUAUUGCAUGGAUUUAAUCCUGCCAGAGUUUGCCGAGCAAAUUCCUCGUCCCUAAACCAACAAAACCUAUCUCCUGCAAGAACAACCACAAGUAUAUCGAUCUAAGGUGUCAUCAUUGUCCCGAAACUAAUUACUUCGGACUUGUGACUUCACACAAGAAAAGUUAUUACUGUCAAUAAUUUCUGGUGUCUCAAAACGCAGGAUAUUAUUCUCAACAUCCGCAAUAGCCUUUACAAGUCGGGGUAGAAUAUUUCCCAAAAAUCCGGUAGCACUUUGCGCUGGUAGAUCGAAUCCUUCAUUGAACAGAGUCUCUAUAGCGGUGAAGUGGGGAAAUCCAAGUUCACUGUCUAUUACAGAAGUCUGUAUCAUCGGUACCAAUGAAUGAAGCACCGAGUACAAUGUUUUAGCCGAGAAUGUCAUCUGCUUCACUUCUGAAAAUGCCUCGUCUCUCGGCACAUAUACACUGAGGCUCCUCGACUCCGACAAUGGAUCUGCGAACAUGUAUCAAACAAAUGAAAAUGAAUAAAUUUAAAUUACAGAUUCCUACCUUAACUGAUUUACAUCAUCAUCAAGUUUAAUUUUGGAGCCAAAAAUGGAAUAAAAAAUUAUUUCAACAAGACGUGAUACUGUUCCGUGAAUCUUCAUCAACAAAACUGAACUCAAUCGUUGUGUUACAGUCAGCAACCUAUACGUAUUUUGAAAUUGAUAUUAAGAUUCAUCUUUUAAUUUACGUUCAAAAUAUAACUUUUUUCCCUUAAAAAACAAAAAAUAAAAAUAAAAGUAAAUUAUCAAAAAAUUGUUGCCUAUGUCUUACCUUUCUUCGUUUUCGGCCGACCAGUUCUGCACCGUCGAGGAUAUGGAUGUUCGGCUCCUCCGAGCACCGGCCGCUUCAAUUCGUCUCCUUUGUCGGGUUCGCCGAGAUCAUUAUAUACAACAUAAUCGUAUAUCCUUUCGAAGGCCUUGUGUUCUCCUGUGCCAUUGCCUCGCAGAAUUUCGAGCUCUUUUUUUCUGUAACUCUUUAGCCCACUGGGUGUUUCAGUUGGUAAAUACGACUGCAUGCUCGAUUUAUACAUAAAUAAGUAAUUUUCACAUAGAAUUUUUAAAGUGUUCUAAAAUAAACGCAUGUACUCGGAACAUUUUCAAAACGCCUCACAUAUGAGGUAUGCGCGUGAUAAUGUGAUCAAUUCAUUUCAUUGACCAUAUAUACACACUUAACCCAAAAUGUGCAUGCAUUUGGGUUAAAAAUUACAUCAAAAUUAAUCUAACAUGCUCAUUUUUAUAACUUAAAAAAAGCAAAUUGAGCACAAUUAACAUCAAAUUAGCCAAAAUCAUCUAAAUUCAUAAAUUAUAUGCAGCAAUCUACAGGGUUUUACUUUUAGAAAAAAUAAAAAAUUAAACAUAUUUUUCGUAAAGUUGCUAACUAUCUACGUGUUGCCUGAGCCUCAUUCUUCUUCGGACUUCGUCUAGUUUUACUAGCAAGUAAUGUUAGUAGUGCACAAUCUUGAAUUGUUGAUGGUUCCGAUGACGGGGAGGAGAUUAAUAAUGAUAUCUUAUCAUCUAAAUAUAAUAAAAAAUUUCGACUUGAAAUAAAGGAGCUUGAUUAAAAUGAUUUUGUAUUGGAUAACACGAAUAAUAACUUGGAUGAGGAAGUGUAGAUUGAAUUGGAAUCCGAUAAAGAAUUAAAACAACAUUUAGGAUUUUUUAAGUCAGUAUUCAUCUAAUCUAAUUGUACGAAUUGGCUACAAAGUAAUUAUAGUAUUUAUAAUUUUGAUCAAUAUGUAUUUGUUGAGAUUUUGAAGAAUAUGUGUUGGUGUCCGAACUCACAAAACUAGUUCAAACUUACCUUAAUUAUAGAAGGAAAGCUUAUAAAGAUUGAAUAGUUACUUUAAAGAAGACGGACUAAGAGAUCACUAAGUCAUUGUUUGGUAGAAAUUUUGAUAAUUGAUUAUUUGACCGUUAGAGAUAAAGUGGGUCCUAUUUAUGGGAGAAGAAUUCCAAAAUGACGGUUAGAAUAGUAAAAUAACAAUCAAAAAAUUGAUUUUAAAUGGCUUAAAAUAUGUAUCAAAUAAGCACUAAGUUAGCUCAACCCAGAUAGGUCAGUGACUCAUGACAAGUUAGCUCAAACUAUAAUAGGUCAACCCGAAUCAUAAUAGUUUAGAUUGACCUAUGACAUUAGCUCAGCCCAUGCCUGCCAUCAUCAAGAAACAUUAUCAUUGCAAUCCUAAACACGUCUCCUAAAUGAUGUCAUCACCACUCGGAUGAUCACUCCCAAAGAGAUAAGUGGCACCCAUGAUGCCAACACCUCAUUUUCGGCCAAUAAAAAAUCAGCAACGAUCACUUAGGUGACAAGCAAUUAUGACAUUGGCCACAACUACGAUCUAGAUACCAUGAGGACCUAUUCAGUUGACCUCAACAAUCAAUCAAACAACAUAAAUUUGAGCGAUGGUAUGCAUUUAUAGGUAGGCACUGUAACUAAUUUGAAGUCUAAUGGUCAAGUUGCUCAAUUAAAGGCAUAUAAAUAGAUAUAUAUAUGGUCCCUUCCAAAGGGCUGAACUCAAUAUAUUCUCUUCAACACAUUCCAAAUUUCAAUCAAUGAAAUUAUCCUUUAAUUUUCCUAAAUUCCAGCAAUCACUCAAUUAAUUUUCUAUUAUGUUGGUCAAAAUUUGCCACGUUAUUAUUAGUCAUCAACAAGGUUCAAGUAAUUGUAGUAUUUAUAAUUUUGAUUAAUAUAUUUUUUUUCUUGAAAUUUGAAAAAUUGAAGAAUUUCAAAGAUAGGAUUAUUUUAUUGAUUUAUUUGUUUAAGAUAUUUAAAUUAAUAUUAAAAAUUGAAAACCCAUGAUUACUCAUGUGCUUGUAAUCCUUAAUACUAAACUGAAACACAUUGCCUCACAUUACGCAUCCUAUAACCUUUUUUAUCAAUCAAAUUAGAAAUAUGCAAAUUAAUUAUUGGAAGGUAAGUUAAAAACUAGUUUUAAAUAAUAAUUUCUAUUUAAUUUGAUCUCGCUAAAAAUUAAAUAUUUUGAUGCCAAUAUCAUAGUAUUUUAAUGUUAUGAUUACUUUGAUUUUCUAAAAUUAAUAUAGUCCCAAUUUGGUGAUGAUUAGAAUCAGAUUUUUAGGGGAUUUGAUAAGAAUUGAUGAAAUAUGUGAUUAUUUAAAGAGAUGUGUGUCCCAUGAAAUACGUGAUUAAAAUUAAUUGUUGACUUUGAUUUAAGUUCGAAUUUAGAUUUUUAUUUUUACCAAACAUGGUAUAAUAUAAUGUAUAAGAGAAUAAAACAAACAAUAGUGUACCACAAGACCACCCAGGCUAAACCCUAGAAGUACAAUUUAAAGUUGGCACUCACCAAUAUCUUUUGGUUGUCAUGUUCUUUGUAACUAUAAUUUCAAGCACUAAAUUAUUUUUCUUGGUAGAAAGGAAAAAUAAAAUAAAUAAAAUAAUGACAUUAUAAGAUGGAGAUAGACUAACCUUGUCCACGAAAAAUAUCCUCGGCUGUUUAUUAUCAAACUUAGAAUGAAUCCACGAAUUACAAGUGAAAGUGGUAGAGUGACCAGAUACACCAUCGAUGACAAUAUUUUUUACGAACAUUUCUUUGUGGUGCUCAUUCUCUACACUUAUUGCUCCGACCUCUCCAAAAUCAUCAGGAAUUUUGAAAUUUGUCUUGUAAUAAUUUUCGUUGUCUUUCUUGCCUGCUCUAUGAGCAUAGGCUUUGAUGGUUGGCUUCUUUGAUCCGAUAUCUUGAAAAGAUGAUAGUUAGUUUUUUUAAAUAAAAGAAAAGAAAAAAAAGAGUAAAAAAAAAUAACUUUUUAUAAAAUCAAUUCUCAAAAAAUGGGGGCUCAAAUAGGGGUUAACUGUUAACAUGAUUAUGACAAAUGAGCAAUAGAAAUGUAUCUAAAUAAAUAAAUGCAUCCUCUUUAUUAUUAUUAUUAUUAUUAUUAUUAUUAUUAUUAUUAUUAUUAUUAUUAUUAUUAUUAUUAUUACAUACUUAAACCACUCUAAGUGGAAUUUUUUUAUUAAUGACCAUAACACAAAAUACAAUAAAAAGAAUAGUUUUGCUUCCGGUCCCCCACCCUGGACAUUUGGCUUUUUCCUAAAAAGAAUACAUAUUAUGUCAGAAGAUCAUAGUAUAGUGAAAAGUUUAAGAAACCUCACCUCGUGUACCCUGCAAUUCUUAAAUAGUUUAGUCGAAAAAUAAAUAUCUACUCUUCAAAAACUUAAUUAGCGAAUUUCUAAUUAAAAAAACUUUUCUCAAACCUAAGCAUAUAACUUUAAGUUUAUCGAAACUGAGACCUUUUCAUUUUAUAGCUUUUCAUUGUAAAGGUGCUUUUAUUUAGUUAGACAUUUGGUUGGUACUUGAAUGUAAGUUAUUCGACUUUGAUCACCACUUUAAAAGAAGACAAGAAAAUUAAUUUGGCUACUAAUUUAUGUCCCUGGUCAACAAAAUUUAUUAAUUACAUAUAAUCAUUCUUUAAUAAACAUAUAAUCAAGCAAAAGAUAUGAAUUUUCAUUUAUUACAAAUUAUGCAUGUGUUUGAGCAAUAAAAAAUAAAUAUGAACAUAUAUUAGUGUGUUCAUAAUUAUUUUUUAUUGCUCAAACACAUGCAUAAUUUGUAAUAAAUGAAAAUUCAUAUCUUUUGCUUGAUUAUAUGUUCAUGAUCAUGACAGGAGUACAUCACUAUUUUGAUAACGAAGAAAUGGAGAAUUUCUCAAAAUUGGCUCAUCAUAAAGUGUUUAUAAAUAAAUUAGAGUAUUAAAAUAAUUAUAUAGAAAUAAAUACAUUAUUCUUUAAUAGUUUACUCGGUACAUAAGUGUAGCAAGGCUUCUGAAAAGUUAAAAAUUGCUUCUAAAACUAAGAAGUUAUUUUUGAACUUGUUUGAAUAAUUUUUUGAAAGUUCUUUGUCUAACUAUAAGAGCUUUUAAAGAAAAUUGGAUUAGGGUUGCUUCUUUCUUCUAUGAGAAGCAGAAAACGUGCCAAAGGGAGCCUAGAUGUCCUCCACCAACAACUUAAGGAUUUUUAUUAUUUUUUUUUUUUUUCUACCAACCAGUUAAAGAAAAAGAAUUUCCCCAAAUUGAUGCUUUGCAGCUUUGCCGAACAUGCUAUUUAAACUUACCAGGAUCAACCUCCGCAGCAAUUAGCUCUAUAAGGAGAGUUCUACCAAGAACAUCAACUAUAAAAUCGAGCCCUCCGCUCAACCCUAAGUGAGUGAGAACUCCACCCACCGUUUGCUGCACAGUGAUUACUGCUUUAACGUCAGUGGUAGUGGAUUUUUUGGUCAAGGUUUUCACCGCUUUUAUCGUGCUUCUCACCUGCCCAACACGAAUAUUUUCAUGUUUUCUCACCGAGAUAAACUUCGGAAAUAUUUAUUAUUAUUAUUAUUAUUAUUAUUAUUAUUAUUAUUAUUAUUAUUAUUAUUACAUACUUAAACCACUCUAAGUGGAUUUUUUUUUAUUAAUGACCAUAACACAAAAUACAACAAAAAGAAUAGUUUUGCUUCCGGUACCCCACCCUGGACGUUUGGCUUUUUCCUAAAAAGAAUACAUAUUAUGUCAAAAGAUCAUAGUAUAGUGAAAAGUUUAAGAAACCUCACCUCGUGUACCCUGCAAUUCUUAAAUAGUUUAGUCGAAAAAUAAACAUCUACUCUUCAAAAACAUAAUUAGCGAAUUUCUAAUUAAAAAAACUUUUCUCAAACCUAAGCAUAUAACUUUAAGUUUAUCGAAACUUAGACCUUUUCAUUUUAUAGCUUUUCAUUGUAAAGGUGCUUUUAUUUAGUUAGACAUUUGGUUGGUACUUGAAUGUAAGUUAUUCGACUUUGAUCACCACUUUAAAAGAAGACAAGAAAAUUAAUUUGGCUACUAAUUUAUGUCCCUGGUCAACAAAAUUUAUUAAUUACAUAUAAUCAUUCUUUAAUAAACAUAUAAUCAAGCAAAAGAUAUGAAUUUUCAUUUAUUACAAAUUAUGCAUGAUGCAUGUGUUUGAGCAAUAAAAAAUAAAUAUGAACAUAUAUUAGUGUGUUCAUAAUUAUUUUUUAUUGCUCAAACACAUGCAUAAUUUGUAAUAAAUGAAAAUUCAUAUCUUUUGCUUGAUUAUAUGUUCAUGAUCAUGACAGGAGUACAUCACUAUUUUGAUAACGAAGAAAUGGAGAAUUUCUCAAAAUUGGCUCAUCAUAAAGUGUUUAUAAAGAAAUUAGAGUAUUAAAAUAAUUAUAUAGAAAUAAAUACAUUAUUCUUUAAUAGUUUACUCGGUACAUAAGUGUAGCAAGGCUUCUGAAAAGUUAAAAAUUGCUUCUAAAACUAAGAAGUUAUUUUUGAACUUGUUUGAAUAAUUUUUUGAAAGUUCUUUGUCUAACUAUAAGAGCUUUUAAAGAAAAUUGGAUUAGGGUUGCUUCUUUCUUCUAUGAGAAGCAGAAAACGUGCCAAAGGGAGCCUAGAUGUCCUCCACCAACAACUUAAGGAUUUUUUUUUUUAUUUUUUUUUUUCUACCAACCAGUUUAAGAAAAAGAAUUUCCCCAAAUUGAUGCUUUGCAGCUUUGCCAAACAUGCUAUUUAAACUUACCAGGAUCAACCUCCGCAGCAAUUAGCUCUAUAAGGAGAGUUCUACCAAGAACAUCAACUAUAAAAUCGAGCCCUCCGCUCAACCCUAAGUGAGUGAGAACUCCACCCACCGUUUGCUGCACAGUGAUGACUGCUUUAACGUCAGUGGUGGUGGACUUUUUGGUCAAGGUUUUCACCGCUUUUAUCGUGCUUCUCACCUGCCCAACACGAAUAUUUUCAUGUUUUCUCACUGAGAUAAACUUCGGAAAUAUUGCAAAAGAUGCAUUUCCUCCUAAGAUAAAUGGCUUGUAUUUUGGAAGUAGGAUUUGAUGAUGAGUAGACUGUGGUUUGGAGAUAUUUAGGUUCAACAUUUUUGUUUCUAUGAUUUAGGUCAUUACAAGUUUGUGUUGUGAUAACUCUUUGAAGUGUAGGCUUGAACUAAGAGCCCUUUAAAUAGAUAGGUUGACAUGUAUGCCUAAAUAUUAAAGUAAUUUUAUUUUUAUGAAGUCUAAUAAUGCAGAAAUGAUAUGGAUCAGCUAGUGUGUGUAAGAUCAAAAUUUUGUUUGUCGUUUUUAGUGAUUUAUUAUAUUAUACACGUUUCUAAUUACACAAUGUAAUAAUAAUAAUACAUGUAGCACAUUAGUGGUUGGCACAUUAAGACAUAAAUAUGAAAAAUAGCUCUAUGAUGUAAUAAAUUUAUAAUUAUGUGGAGUCAUAAGAAGGGUUUAUGUAUAUAUAAAUGAAAGGAAAAUGAAAAUAUUGAAAAUGGAGCAAUUCAUUGAACAAUAUUCCACGCAAAGAUGUAAUUAUUUAUAAAAUAAGCUCAUUACAACAACCUCAAGGUUGGCUACUGACAUAGCGAAAGUUAUAAGGAAGAUGAACAAAUCUCACAAACAAGAAAAUUCAUGAAAAGUUUUAUCUCAUUCAAAUCAAUCUACGGCCUCAAGAGACUUACAACGUAUUUAUAGCAAAAACCUAGAAAAUUCAGAAAUUAAAUAAUAAUAAUAAAAAAAAUAUUUUUUUUUCCAAAAAUGGAAAAAUCAAGAUAAUGACGGAAAUUAAUAGUCCUAAUCUUUGGAUUACUCUCCAACAAACAGAAUGUAAAUUCGAAUUUAUUUGAUUGAGAUAUACUCAAAAUAAGAAUUACCAAAAAAGGAAAAAAAGUCUAAACGAACAAAUUUGCCCGAAAUUGGUCCUACGUCAAAAGAAAAGUCUUUGAGUUUAACUUUUCAGUCCGUUUCCAACCGAAUUAGACUACAAAUUCUUCAAAAACGGACAAUUUCAAAUUUCCUCCCAAUUAUUUUUUCUUGCUCCGGUUCCACUUUGCCAUUAAGUCCAAUUCCUUUUGCACCACAUCAGCUACCAAUGGACCUUCAGUUUAAUCUCUUCUAUCCAUGACAUGUUCAUAAGGAGGCAAACUAUUGCACGGAUUGAAUGACCACUCAUUUCGAUCAUUUAAACUUAGGCUUACAUAGUUUUAGUUUCCCUACGGAUGAUUUAAGUUCUUAUUUACUGGCUGAUGCUCUUGGUAUAGUUUGGCCAAGAUUUCUAUAAUUUGAGACUCUUUUAUUCCGUAGUAUAUAUAAAAACAAAAUGUUAUGUCAAAAGGGAAAUUGUACCUCUAAUAUUCAACUUAUUGUUCGAUUACAAGUUAGUUUUUGUUAAAAUUCACCAACAAUCAGAAUGUUCAAAAAUCUUCAUAUCUUGUUGAUUUCGAGAUUGAUAUACGAAAAAUACAUUUCUAAGACGGUGAAGGAAUUACUGAGCGAAUUUCAUUCAACUAUAAGGUCAUUAUGUUAAUUUGAAUGUAAUGCAUGUUCCUAAACCUUUGAAAUGAGGAAGUUUGUCCCAACAUUUCUUUGUAAUUGUAGAAUCAAGGGUGAAGCUAGGAUUGUAGAGUUGUAUAGACAAAUUUCACAAAAUUUUAAUUGUAGGGACAAAGUUGAAAAUUAUAAGGAAUUUUGUUUGAAAUUCUUGGAUUUUAAAUUUAGUGUGGGAACUAAUUCGCCACUGUGUAGAAUUAGUAGUCAACUAUGGACACUGUCUAAUUCUUUGAUAAAAAGUUCCUCCAACAUAUUCAACCUCACGAAAUUGUUUUUUUUUUUUUUAAUUCAAAUUUUUGUUGACGUAUAAUUUUUUUCCAAGUGAAACAUGUUUGUGCAAUAAAUAAUGGAGAACCAACUUGCUUAAUUGAGCAAUAGGUUGAGGAAAAACAAUACAAUAUUGCAUGUUCAGUCGCCUUCGAAAAGAUGGCUGAAUAUCCAAAAUAAAUGAUUUGCACAUUAUAUCUAUCAAAUCAGUGAAACUAUUUGUAUAAACUAGGGGUGUAAGCGAUUCGAUUUUAUCGAUUUUCAACAGAUUUUCAAACCAAACAAUUUAAAACGGUUAGAGAAAAAUCCAAACCUAAACCAAACCAUUUUGAACGGUUUAAAAAAAAACUCAAACCUAAACCUAACGAUUUGGUCCGAUUUUAAACCGCUGGCUUCGUCAUAUAUUUUUUUGCCCGUCUACUUUUAUUUCAUUAAUUCAUUUAAUUUAAUAUAUAUUUAUAUCUCACUAGUAAUAAAUCUAAAACAAACUAAGCCCCUUUUUGAACCAAAUUUUUGGGACAAAAAAAUGAAAAUUUGGACCGUUAUUCCACAAGUUCAACCGUUUUUGUUGACCUGCUAUUUCAUGUAUGGGACCUAACCUCCUCCCCAAUAGUCAAUUUUCUCAUUAUGAUGAUAUGAAAAAUAUGGUUCAAACAAGGGCUAAAUAUAUCUUCUAUAAAUUUAAAUAACAACUAAAUCAGAGUGAAAUCACAAUAAGUUAAAACAUAGUUUUUUUUCAUUUUUGUUCACAUUUUUUAGGCUAAUGACGAUACAAUAACGUUACAAUAGAAGUCUACUAAACUAGAUAUAAGGUUCAAAAAACAUAAUGAUGCCCAACAAGAUCUUGUGAUCAUCAUAUCUGAAAAAAGAAUACUGAUUAAACAAAGAGAAUUACACAAUUUUACGUUUGUAUGAUAUUACGAAACACAUUUAAUUUCAAAUUCUUAUCUUAGUUUAUUCCAAAAAAUUAUUGAUCUGAAACUUUAUUAGUAGCAAAUAUUAUUAUCGAAGGUCUAGGAUCUCGUUGUCUCCGAUUUGGUAUAAUAGACUUCAAUUUAACUUUGAAUUGGCGUGAAAAAUCUAAAAACGAAGUGUAUGGUGCCGGUGGCUCAAAGCUAUGUUGGGCAUCGAUUGAAGUUCAUUUAAAUUUUGAAGAGAUCAUUUAAAUUUUGAAGAGAAAAUAGGCUUUUGAUAGAUUAUGUUAGUCUUGAAAUUAUUAAAUAUAUAUUAGGAUUAUUGGAUGAUGAUGAUGAUGAUGAUGAUGAUGAUGAUAAUAAUAAUAAUAAUAAUAAUAAUAAUAAUAAUAAUAUAUCUGUAUUAGAAAAUUAGGAAUUGACAAAAAUAUCCAAAAAUGACAAAACUAUUGAAUUUUACAUAUUUGGAUGAAUUCUCAAAAAAAUUCAUUUUUUCAUUUUUUUUAUUUUUAUAUAUUUUUUCGCCUAUCCGGUUUGGUUUUAAACUGCAAUUAAAAUUCUCAAACCUAAACUAAACCAUUUUGACCGGUUUGGUUUGGGUCAAAACCAUUUCGUUGAUCGAGUCCACGUGGCACCAAAUCGACGAUUUCUAAAAUGCGGUUCCAAUUCGAAUUUCUGAUUUUACGAUUUUUACUUACAGCUCUAGUAUAAACUAGAGAUAUUGAUAUUUAAAACAGGUGAGAUUAACAUUUUGUGGGUUAAUAGUUUUUUAUGCUUUAUUAUAUUUUGCAUAUUUCGAAGUACUUAAUUUAAUAAAUAAUAUUUGUACACUAGUGGUUGGGUCAUAAAGACAUUCAUUAUUAAAAAAUAGGUUUCCACAAUAAACACGAGUUUUAGAUAAUAUAUGGCUUAAUCAUUUUGUAUUAUGUAGUUAUAUUGAGUAUUCUAUGUGUGUUAGGUGUUAUAAUAUUCAUACUAUCCCCCUAUUUGACGGGAUUAAAAUUUUGAUUUUAAUCUAAAUCAAGAUCAACAAUUAAUUUCAAUAAUAUAUUUUAUGGGAUCUACUAUUUUUCAACCACACAUUUCGUCGAUUUUAUCAAAAUUUACUAAAAAUCUUAUUUAAUCCCCCACUAAAUAAAAACUAGAUAAGGAUCAUAUGGGGUCGAUUUGGUGGAUAUGAUAAGUGUGAGAGAAAAAUACCAUCUGCUACAUUAUAAUAAAAACCAGCAAAAGUAUCUGUAUCCAUUCUUGCUGGAGAAUUAAAUGAAUAUAAUAGCGGAAUGGGGUUAGAGUAAAAAAUGGAGAUUGAUCCUGCUGCGAAAUAUCAAUUUUCAUACAGAUUUCAAGAUAAGGUUUUCUUCAAUCAAGUGAACAUGUAAAAAUAUAUACGAUAUUUGAGUAGUCAACUUUUUAACUGGAGUAAAUUAAUAUUUAUCCUGAUCAAUAAUUUUAUAUUGAUUAAAUUAAUUGUUAUCCCAAUCAAUAUUUGUAUAUAUAUUGACUGGAUUUGCUGUACAAUUUAUUUUUCUUUUUAUUUCCACAUAAUAAAAAAGGAAAAAAAGUCCAGUUAUAAAAUUGGAAAUUGUAUUGAGAGUAGACAAAUUCAUUGAGCAAACAUUCCAAGACAGACAUUAAUCAAACUAAGCUGAUCGAUAAAAACUAGCGAACUGUUAAAUCAAAUCGAAAUCAUCUUCUUGUCCAAAAAUCACUUCGAGCCAUGUCUAUAUGAGGAGCUCAUUUAAAUUUAAUAGAGAUAUUGAUAGCUUCCAUCAUUGGUGAGAAUUGUUCUACUGUAAUAAAACAAUUGAUGAUCAACUUGCUUCUUUUUGCCAAAACUUCAUGUUGGUAUAAACUUCAUUUGUUUAAAAUUGAUCGCUGAAAGUAAACAUCAUACACAAUUUGAUUACUUCGAACGUAAACUAACUAGAAAAGAUAAUGUGACAACUUGAAACAAAGUUUUAUUUAAUGAACAUCGAACAAAAUGAUCGCUAAAAGUUUGUUGCUCACUAAUCCUAUUGGCAAAGGAGUAUGUACAUCGGAGAAAGUCAGCUUUUGAAACCAAAACCUUUUUGCUAUGGGUUUUAUUACUUAUCAAGUCAGGGUAGCCUGCUAGCGAUUUGACUUUAUUUGGAUUCUUGAGAAGAAAGGAGCCGUGCUGGUCACCCCGGACCGCCUGGAUCCCAAUUUUAAUCUCCUAACCAAUGUUGUUGUGUUCAACUUACAAACAUGCCGUAUUGUUUUGUGAAAUUAAGUUCAAACAAAACCUAAUAUAUUUAAGGGUAGAUGUAAAUGUGAAAGGACUUUUUGCAUGAUAUACUUCCAUGAGUCUCGAGUUCUGAUCGAGAAACCAUUUCCUAUAUAUCAUCAUUUUUACAGUUAAAAGCUAAAGAGUGGUUCGUCCUAUAAAUGCAGAUAAUUGUUCGUAGAAGUUAUAUCUCCAUAUAAUUUUCUCUAAUCAAAUGUAGAUAAUUAUUCAUAAAAUCCAAAAAUAGCUGCACAAAACGUAACUUUGAUUCAUUUUCCCUUAUUCAAAAUCAUACAACAGACAAUUAUUUGAGGUUUGCUGAUUUGCUCAUUUAAAGCAUUCUUCCAUCAAAUGGAAAUGCUAUCAGGCACACCCUUUCCUGCUACACCUGCUUCAGAAAAUCGCUUCAAAAGCUUAUAUUUAUACAUAGGCCAAUAUGAUUCAUGCAUUUUCAUGCUAAUUACAUUGCCAUUUGCAUCGAUUUCCUAAUGAACAUAUAUAAAUAAAAUAAAAAUGUUGUAGCAAAUGUAGAUAGCAACUCGAAAUCAAGUUAUAUUAAGCCCGGGGUUUGGUACAAAUUAAAAUAAAGAUUUUAAUUUAUGUUAAAAUUAAUAAUUAAUUUUAAACAUACAUUUUAUGGGAUCUACAAUUUUUUAAAUCACACAUUUUAUCAAUUUCUAUUAAAAAUUUGUUUUUAAUCCUACCAAACAAGGGCAAAAUGACCAACUUCGAACAAAAUGAACGCUAAAAGUUCAUUGAUCACUAAUGAUUUUAAUCUCCGAACCAAUAUUAUCGAGAUCAACUUACAAACAUGCCACACUGUUUUGUGGAAUUAAGUUUGAACAAAACCUAAUAUAUUUAAGGGUGGGUGUAAUUGUAAAUGUGAAGGAAUUUUUACAUGAUAAUACUUUCGUGAAUCUCAAGUUCUGUUCGAGAGACCAUUUUCAUAGAAGUUAUCUCCAUAUAGUUUCCUCUAAAAUUUUAUUCAUAAAAUCCAAGAAUAGCUUUAACAAGUGUAACUUUUAUUCAUUUUCCCUUUUCCAAAUUCAUACAGGAGACAAUCAUUUGAAGUUUGCUAAUAUAUAGCAUUCUUACAUCAAAUGGAAACGCUGUUAGGCACACCCUUUCCUGUUACACCUGCUUCGGAAAAUGGCUUCAAAAGCUGAUAUGGAACUACUCCAGCUCCAGAUCUAUUCAUCAGAUCACAAUUAGUAUUCCUAGCAUCAAUAAUUCCUUCAAUCUCUUUCACUUUCCCAGCGAACUGU
rnacentral:lncRNA from 1 species